rnacentral:rRNA from 1 species
AACGAACGCUGGCGGCAUGCCUAACACAUGCAAGUCGAACGAGACCUUCGGGUCUAGUGGCGCACGGGUGCGUAACGCGUUGGAACCUGCCCUUAGGUUCGGAAUAACUCCCCGAAAGGGGUGCUAAUAUCGGAUAAUGUCUUCGGACCAAAGAUUUAUCGCCUUUGGAUGGGCCCGCGUUGGAUUAGCUAGUUGGUAGGGUAAAAGCCUACCAAGGCGACGAUCCAUAGCUGGUCUGAGAGGAUGAUCAGCCACACUGGGACUGAGACACGGCCCAGACUCCUACGGGAGGGAGCAGUGGGGGAUAGUGGAAAAUGGGCGAAAGGCUGAUCCAGCAAUGCCGCGUGAGUGAUAAAGGCCUUAGGGUUGUAAAGCUCUUUUACCCGGGAUGAUAAUGACAGUACCGGGAGAAUAAGCACCGGCUAACUCCGUG